AUGAUGAUACUCCUACUGAUUCGUUUAUGGUUUUGUCUGAAAAAACGGUGACGAUUAAAUGCUACUAGGGCGGACUGAUUUU